GUCCGCUGUAGGCGUCGUGCUAAAACCUUAACAUUGGCUCUAAAAUCAAAGUGCUUCCACCUACAACUUUGAAACUUCAUAUGUAGAUGCACGUUGAUGAGUUCUACAUGCCACACCCAUUUUUGGGUCACUAGGUCAAAGGUCAAGGUCACUGUGACCUCUAAUAUAAAACUUUAACAUAGGCACUAAAAUCAAAGUGCUUCCACCUACAACUUUGAAACUUCAUAUGUAGAUGCACCUUGAUGAGUUCUACACGCCACAUCCAUUUUUGGGUCACUAGGUCAAAGGUCAAGGUCACUGUGACCUCUAAUAUAAAACUUUAACAUAGGCUCUAAAAUCAAAGUGCUUCCACCUACAACUUUGAAACUUCAUAUGUAGAUGCACCUUGAUGAGUUCUACACGCCACACCCAA